rnacentral:lncRNA from 1 species
ACGCUCCAGCCUCCGAGCUGCUCGGAAGCUGCCGCGAGGGAAGGCAGUGGCGCGUGGACCCGCGAACUGACCAGAAUAGCCCUAGAAUGGGACCAAGAGACGGCUGUAGCUGUCGUUUAGUGAGAUGACACCGGGCUUACGUUGAAUUUUCUGUGGACUGAAUUCGAUCUUCCGCCUGCAAGAGCCAGCGUCGAUCGAGGCUACUUCAGGUCUCCGCCGGGUGUCACUAUCAGGAAACCCAGGCCCAGAUGUUUCUGAGAGCUCUGCCAAAAGGAGGGCGAAGUAAGCCCCUAGAUGGGCAAACUCGUAAUUUCAACUCCCACUUCUCUCCUUUCCCCAUCUCUCUCCGCUCUCCUUUCUCCUCUGUCUCUCAGUUUCACUGUGCACCCCAGGCUGGCCUGUGUCUAUCUCGCUGCAAUCCUCCCUCCUCAGCCUACUGCUGGGAUAACUGGCAACUAGUUCAAUUGGUGCCUCUGUUUCCCCAAAUCUUACUGAAAAUAGUGACCAGAUCUGUGGAAUGCUAUCCAGCUCUUCCAACAAAUACCAUGAUACCACCCUAAGGGCCCCAAAAGCACACACACAGCCACCGGAAACAGAACUUAGUUUCGGGUCUGGGCCAACGCCCUAUACACUUGCAUCUCAGCCACCCGUCCCAUAUCUAGCCUGUCCCCGGACUUCGAAGAGAGGCUAAUAACAGUAUGCAUGUCUCAGGAUCUACGGCCGGAGGAGCGCCCAGGAACCCGCGGGCGUAUGUCAGCGAGCCUGCACCGGGCGCUGGGCAGCCCUGGGUCCUGGGCCAGGCCAGCUUUGGCGGCGGGGAGGCGGACCUUUUGAUCCCCUCCGCAGAAGGUCCCCGGUUCGGCUGCACCCCGCUGAAGCCGCUGGGAAGCUAGAUGUAAAGAGUUAGCGCGGUGGCCGCCUCCCCCACUUCCUGCGGGGUCCCCCGCCGCGGCCCCAUUGCACAAUCCCUGCCGUGCAAUCGCCCCGUGACUCGCACCCAGCCUGAAAUGGUUCCCAGGUUUCCAAGCCUAGCAAAGAACCGCGGCGUCCCCGCCCCGACCUCAGGCGCACUCCAAGCCGUAUUUCUUCGGGUGACUGGGCCGCACUUUAACGUCUAGAAUGCACUUGUCAAAGAAGGGCAAGUUCACGCAGCAGCCACCAGCUCCAGGCUGGCGCCGGGUGGCUACAGCUGACUUGGCCCUUCUCCGUGGUAUACCUUCAAGCAGCACGUUUUGGGGGUGGGGGAGAAACAGGCAUGUGCCAUAGAGGAAGGAGGGGGAAGCUGUAUUGCAGAUCUUCAGGAAUCCGCCCUGACACCGACGGUGGACCCAGGAAGCGUGGAGGCAGCAUACAGAAGACUGUGUCAGUAGUCCACGCCAUUAUCUUAGAGACAGGAAACCUAGAAAUUAAAUGGUGUGCCUGAAGUCACCUAGCUAAUGUAGACUGCAGGCAAUGUCUGGGUUGUAGUUGUAAGGACGAGGUGGGGGAUGGUUUCCUUUUAAGAAAAUAGUGCGCCUUCCUUAGCAAUCACUGCAACUCCUGACUCCACAUUACAAAAGGAAGCAAUAAGUCUAGCCCCUAAAAGGGCUAAAUUUGGCAGUGUCCCGGGAAGGUAUCAGCUACUCAUUUCAGUUAUUUUCACCAGUUGAGAGCACUCGAAAUAUCGCACAAAAUACCUAAUGAAAAAGAGAGGGACCACGAACGUUUCUCCAAGAUCAGAUCUAAAAUGCCAAGUUCCCAAUAACAUUACUUUGAUGAUUAAACUGUUCAGUGUUCUGCCGAUGUGCCAGCUGGUUUCGGAAGUGAAUUGUCAAGUGAAUUGCUCUAUGCUGGACUGGAUCAUUUAGGCUUGGAAUAGAUUUGCUGCUCAUCUUUCAGAAUAUUCAGUCUGAAAAUAUACGGGACAAGGACAG